GGGGAAUAUUGCACAAUGGGCGCAAGCCUGAUGCAGCAACGCCGCGUGAGGGAUGACGGCCUUCGGGUUGUAAACCUCUUUUAGUAGGGAAGAAGCGAAAGUGACGGUACCUGCAGAAAAAGCACCGGCUAACUACGUGCCAGCAGCCGCGGUAAUACGUAGGGUGCGAGCGUUGUCCGGAAUUAUUGGGCGUAAAGAGCUUGUAGGCGGUUUGUCGCGUCUGCCGUGAAAAUCCGGGGCUCAACUCCGGACUUGCGGCGGGUACGGGCAGACUAGAGUGUGGUAGGGGAGACUGGAAUUCCUGGUGUAGCGGUGAAAUGCGCAGAUAUCAGGAGGAACACCGAUGGCGAAGGCAGGUCUCUGGGCCACGACUGACGCUGAGAAGCGAAAGCGUGGGGAGCGAAC
rnacentral:rRNA from 1 species